rnacentral:rRNA from 1 species
AAGGGUUCCUGCGCAACGCUAAUCGGCGCAGGGUUAGCCGGCCCCUAAGGCGAGGCCGAAAGGCGUAGUCGAUGGGAACCACGUUAAUAUUCGUGGGCCUGAUGGUAGUGACGGAUUGCGAGUGUCGUUCGAUCUUAUUGGAUUGAUCGGGCGGCUUAGCGGUUCCAGGAAACAGCUCCAUCAUUAUAGACCGUACCCGAAACCGACACAGGUGGACUGG